GGAAGAAGUCCUCAUCUGUCAGAACAGUUAUGAUUGUGGAUAUCACUUAGGUGGCUUUGCCAAUUACCAAUUUCUGUAUACUCAGGGGAAAGAAAUGAGCAGAAACAUCAUGCUGGGAAAAUCUGGAGCUAACAUAUUAACUAUUUCAAAUACAUCUGUGACAUGCUUUUGAUAGUGAUGACUCUUGCGUUAUUCACAAUAGCCAAGACUUGGAAGCAACCUAAGUGCCCAUCAGGGGAUGAACGGAUAAAGAAGAUGUGGUAUAUAUACACAAUGGAAUACUACUCAGCCAUAAGAAACAAUGAA